GAUGAACGCUAGCGGCGGGCUUAAUACAUGCAAGUCGAGGGGCAGCACGAUGUAGCAAUACAUUGGUGGCGACCGGCGGACGGGUGCGUAACACGUAUGCAACUUGCCCUAUACUAGGGAAUAGCCCGAAGAAAUUCGGAUUAGUACCCUAUAACAUCCGGGAAGGCAUCUUUCUGGGUUCAAAGCUCCGGCGGUAUAGGAUGGGCAUGCGGUCGAUUAGCUUGUUGGUGAGGUAACGGCUCACCAAGGCGACGAUCGAUAGGGGGCCUGAGAGGGUGAUCCCCCACACUGGUACUGAGACACGGACCAGACUCCUACGGGAGGCAGCAGUAAGGAAUAUUGGUCAAUGGGCGCAAGCCUGAACCAGCCACGCCGCGUGAAGGAAGACGGCCCUAUGGGUUGUAAACUUCUUUUCUACGGGAAUAAACCUCAGGACGUGUCCUGAGCUGAAGGUAUCGUAGGAAUAAGGAUCGGCUAACUCCGUGCCAGCCGCCGCAGUAAUAC
rnacentral:rRNA from 1 species